AAUUAUCAACGCGACAGCUUUUCUCUCAAAAAGCCGUCUGCGCUUGGACUUUGGAGCGUGCGGGCCCCUCUCUCCGAGAACCCGCUCCUCUUGAAAUGCAUUAGCGGUUUGCGCACUUGCAGAUCUGCCUCGGCGUGAUAAUUAUCUACGUCGCUGCGGUGAUGCCCCCUAACCCCUGUGCGGCUGCUCCUAACCGUUGCCCCUGUCGCAACAAAACCCCUUAAUGACG
rnacentral:misc_RNA from 1 species